AGGCGGGCAGGUCGCACUCGUCCAACAUCAGCUGCUCCAGGCGGGGGCAGGCGGCCGCCAGGCGGGACACCACGUCGGGCGACAGCUGCGUAAGGAAGGGGCAGGUUGGCGCGUGGGGACGGAGCAAGCAAGGGCACGGGGCGGCGCGUGCUUGGUGCAGUGUCCGCUUGGAGUGGUAUGGGCAUGGUCAGAUCUGGCCCACGUGACCCCUUUCCGUGCCCACCCUACCCACAAACUAUUCCGAACCCAUCCUACCCACCCCAUCCAGUGCUCACCUGGCAGCAGUGCCGCAGCCGCAGGUUGCUCAGCGCCCCACAGGUCGUAAGCCAUCCCAGCAGCGCCUCGCAGCUAAACGGCCGCCGCCCCGCGUCCCCCACCUCCCCUUCUCUCUGUCCUUGCUGUGUUCCCCCCUCCUCCGCCUCCGCCACCUGUGAUGCCGCAGCGGCGGCCGCACCACCCCUGCCACUGCCCUCCUCCACCGCCACCACACCAGCGGCGCGGCCACGCCCCGCCUGGGCCUGAACACGACCCACACGCGGUCGCUGGUAGCCGGUCUGCUCCAGCCGCAGCUGACUCAGUGCAGGCGUGCCGCGGCGGCGCAGCUCCCCUAGCAGCCCCACCGACAGCCCCGCCACGCCCACCAGCGCCAGCGUGCGCAGCCGGCGCAGGGGAGGCAGCGAAGGCGGCAGCGGCAGCGGCAGCGGCAGCGGCAGCGGUAUCCGCGCCGCGUGCUCAGCACCAGCAGCACCAUCGGUGCGCGCGCUGCCGCCGCCGCCGCCUGUUCCAACCUCGCUGCCUCCUGCUGCCAGCUGCCCGACCGGCCUGCCGUACAGGAGUGAGAGCAGGUCGUCGUCGUACAGCUCCGUGGCACUGCCGCCCACCAGCUGCAGGUCAGACAUGGCCCACCGCCGUACACAGCGCCGCCGUACGCACUGCCGUACACACCGCCGCCGCUGCUGUGGCGGUGCUUCUUCUUCUUCUUCUGCCUCCGCGGCCGCGGCAGCUUCCAACCCCUCCCUCUGCCCCUCCUGCCCCUCGUGCCCCUCCGCCUCAUGCCCCUGCAUCGCCAGUCCUUGCUGCCCCCCCACCGCCGCCUUCUGCUCCGCCAGCCAGCCCAGCGGCCGCAGCAGGUCCUCCCGCCGGAAGGGGCCCAGGCAGUGGAUGAGGUGCAGCUCGUGCAGCUGGACCAGGUGGGGAGAAGCGGGGUGGGAGAGGGGUCGGGCUACUCCAAUCCCAACCAACGGGGGUUGUAAUCGAAUUAUCGAAACCAUACCCAAUAAGAGGAGCUGCAGGGAUAAGUAGACGCAGAAGACACACCACGCAGGAAGGCAAGUCGACACAGGAAGGCCAGACACACGCCGCACGCCCCUAGCAAGCCCGAUUGCGUUGUGGCCCGGACACACAGGCGACGUGUCCGCCGCAAGUACUGCAGCCUUUCCGCCGUUGCCCGAAUGCACCGUUUGCGCCCUUCCUCCCUUCCUCCCUUCCUCCCCAUCCCCAUCCCCUCAUCUCUUCCAACCUUCCACCCUUCCUCCCUUCCAUCCCCUGCCCGCCCACCUUGCAGCACGCCGCCAGCAGCUCCCCCAGCCCGGCGCCCGACACGCCCGCCAUCUCCAGCCGCAGCGCCUGCAGGUGCGGGCAGGCGGCGGCCAGCGCCCGCAGCCCCACGUCGUCCACGGCCGCCCCCACCCCCAGCUCCAGGCGCGAGAGCACCAGAGAGCGGUGCGGCGGAGGGGGCGGGCACGGGGCGGGCGCAGGAGGCGAGGCGGCGGCGGUGGUGGAGGUGGUGGAGGGAGUGGCGGUGGAUGAUGGCAGGGAAGAGGAGGCAGAGAAGGCGGAGGAGGAGGGGUGCGUGGAGGCGGGGACCGCUGGUCUGCCGCAGCCGCACAGGCGCAGCACGGCGGCGGUGUUGAAGCCCCACCCCACGGCCAGGCUUCUCAGGCCGUGCAAGCCUGCAAGCUGCUGCCCCUGAGCCACCUCCGCCGCCACCUCAGCCCUCUCCGCCACCGCCGCCUCAACCUCCACUUCCGCUUCCUCCUUUGCAUCUCCCUCCUCUCCAGACGAGUCGCUCGCCGAAGGGGUUUGCGCUGCAACCGGUGCCGCCUCUGCCUGAGGCAGGCGCGCGCCGCACCCAGGAGGCACCCGGUGUGGCACACACUCCGUCGGAAGUGGCGCCAGUGGCGGCGCCGCCGCCGCCGCCCGAGGUAUCGGCGGCGCCGCCGUCCGCAGCAUCGGCGGCGGCAGUGCCGCGGGCGCCAGGUCGCGACAGCGGCUGAGCCCCAGGUGCUGCAGCCGCAGCCGGCAGCCACAGGGAUCCCUGGCCUCACCGCUGCCAGCCCCCACUGCCACUGCCACUCCCGCCGCCGUAAAAUCCCCGCCAGCCGCGGCCCCGGCUACAGCCUCCGGCACCGCAGUAAGCUGUAGCAGCGCCAUCAGCUGCUCUGGCCCAACGCCCGAAGAGCCGUUCAGCUCCAGGCGCUGGAGGCGGCGCAGCGCCGGCUGUAGCACCGUCAGCCAGUCGUCGGCAGCUGUAGCAGCCGCCGUGGUGGCCGCAGCAGCCCUGGAAGAUGAGAUGGCUGUAGCAGAUGGCCGGCUCGCUGUGGCGCUUGCGGCCUUGGCACUAGCGGUUCCAUUGGGGGGCAAGCCCUUGGCAGUAGCCGCACCCUUGGUGGCAGCAGCAGCGCUCUUGGCAGAAGCAGCAGCGCCACCACGAGCAACGCUGCUACUGCUGCUGCGGCUGUUGCUACUGCCGCUUCGGUUGCCGUUGUCGAAGAAGCCGCCCAGCUCGAGGUCACACAGGCGCAGGUCUGCAUACGGUAACGGGCAGUUGGUGUUGCUUCCAGCGCUCUGCUCAAACCCACGCCGCUCCGACAUGGAAAUGAAAAUUUAUUCGGCCCUUUGAUGCUUGUUCCUAACCCCGCUCUUCCGUUCUGGGCUUUGGGGAGUUUGGGAUGAGGGCUCUGUCCCCGUCAACCGCCCACCUUGCAAGCACUCCAGUCGCGCCACCGCCUGUCGCAGCUCGCCGCCCCAGGCCCGUGCCACCACCGCUGCCGCCGCCAGCGCCUCCGCCCCCGCCGGCUGCCCAGCCGCUGCCGCUGUAGCUGCUGCCGCCGCCGCCGCCGCCACGCCGCCUGCCCACCUGUUCACAGGUGGCAUGGCAGCCCCCAGCGCACCCGCCGGGUCUCUGCCACCCCCGCCGUUAGCUCGCCUGGAGGAUGACCCGUUGCGGCUGCCCGCAGCAGCCCUUGCUGCUACAGCCGCGGAUGCGGCUGCUGAGUGCGCGGCUACUGCCGCCGCAGCUAAAAUGCCUGGCGGCGCGAGCGGGCAGCCGGACAGGUCGAGGGCGGUGAGGUUGCGGCAACAGCCCUGUGUGGCAUAAGGACAGGAUCAUGACCAUUGUCCCGACGGAAAUCCAUACAGUUAGAAUGACAGGCUGAACACAACCGCUGGCAUAAUGCCAAGCUGCACCUAGGCCCCCAAUCAGCUGGAAUUGGAUGACACAACACCGCACACGCACACACUUCGCACGGACACGCAUGCUCUGUUGUUCUCUUGCCCUGUCUCUCCCGAACACGAACACCACCAAUCGGAUCCCCCACGCACCGCUCUCCCCAGCAGCCGCAGCUCUUGCAGACCCGCAGCCGCCGAGUGUGUGGCCACCAGAGUGUGCAGGUGCGGCAGCAGUACACUGCCGCCACCCUCGGGGGGCAUCUCCGCCGCCGCCAGGAGCGCCAAAGCAAGCGGCGAGCCUUCAUGGCUCCGAUGUGCAACCUGUACAGAGGGGCACGGGCCAAAGCCUCUUCAAGCCCUCCACCUGUACUGUACAAUUCCAUUGCCAGGUUUCAUCCUGGAAAGGCUUCAAUCUAGACCCUCCCAAAGACGGUGAUUCAAUGCUUUUUGACGCCGUGGAGCUGGUCAAGCGCAGCGGGCAAAGCUGAAACCGUAACCAAACCCAAUGCUGCGAGCGCGGCCGUGACCGCUCUAAUCACCUGCAGGAGGGCCGCUAGUGCCGCGCUGUCGCCGUCGGGCUCAGCGACGCCGUCACCAUGGUCACUGCCCCCCUCCCCCUCAAAGGCCGACGGCCACUGGUUCCCAACCGCCAACGCAGCUGUGGUCAGGGCUACACCCGUCGCCCUGCCGUACAGCCCAUGGUACGACAGAUCCACGUAGGUCGGCGCCACCGGCUCCAACUGACCCUGCUGCCGCUGGCGCCGCUGCGGGACCGCGGCCGCGCCGCGCGCGUGCUGCGCGAGGCGCGUGACGAAGGAAGCGAACAGCUGCACCGCCUGCCAUUGCGGAUGCGGAGAUGAGCGAGAGCCCGAUUUGAAGAGGAUUACCGCAGGGGCCGCAGAGGCAGCACAAAGUGUCUGUGGAUGGUCUGGGCCCUGGUCUGGGCCCAAAAGGAUCUGCCGUCUAGAGCUCCCGCACCAGACCCGAGUUCCAACUGCUGCUGGCGGCGCCUGCACGCUACGCUCAGUGCCCCUCCACCUGCGCCUGCACACCCACGCGCUCCCUGACACCAAACACCGACGCGCUCGCGCUCGGCCCGCCACACCCUCCAUACUAACCUCCCUCUGAUGCUCCUCCCGCCCGCCCCCCUUCGGCACGCCCUCACCUCUGCGCUGCAGGCUGGGCUGGUCGGGUGCGCCGGCAGGCACGCCGCCCCCGACCCCAACACCAGGCCACCACCUCCAUCCGCACCCGCACCAUCGCCAGCCACACCGUCACCUGGACAGCCGCCUCUCGCCUCCAACCCCACCCGGGCCCCGGCCCCCGGCCCCGCCCCCGCGCCCGCCUCCGCUCCUGACCCCGCAGCCCUGGUUCCAAGGGGCCGCAUGGGCCCCGACUGGCUCGCCGCCCCCGCGUCCGUGACCACGGAUUCUCCGAGCAGCGGGGGCACCAGCGGCGGCUGCAGCGCGGGCCGGUAGGUGGACGGCUGGGGCCAUGCGGCGGGGGCCAGAUGCGCGGCCGCGGGCAGCUCGGGUGCCAGCCACAGCGUGUGGGCGGCCGGCAGGUGCGUCACGUGCGUCACCGGCAGCCCCGGAACCUGCAGCGUGGCGUGGCGAGCGUGUGGGUGUCGGUGGUAGGCAGUUGCAGCGGUCGUCAUGCCAACCAGGGAUGGGGUGGGGCAGCGACCGUGCAGGUAGCGUGGCGGCGUGUAAACUGGGAUUGAUAUACCGUACGGGUUGUGACGACAGGGCUGCGGGCUGCUCGUACAGUCAGGAAGUACUCACCGGCCAAGUGCCGGGGUCGCCAUGCCUGCCCUUCCCACCGACGGAGGCCGGCGCUGCAGGGGCGGGAAGCGCAUGGUCGCGAUCGCCUGCGGCGGCGACCGCCACCGCCGUCGCCGCCGCCUCGCCGUCGCGCGGCGGAUGGUGGGCGGCCAGCACGGCAGCAUGGCUGUCAGCGAGCAUCGCCACCCGCCCAUCACUCAACAGCACCGCCGCUGCCGCCGCGGCUUCGGCAGGGGGCUGAAACAUGUGUCCGCGCUCGAGCCUGAGCCGCGCUGCGCCAGCACCGCAGCGUGCUGGCGAGGUCGGCUUGUGGCGGCUUGCGGCGGCGGCGGCGCCGCCAGCUGCGCUGGGCAAGGCGCUGGGCUGAGUGAAGGGCGUGUCAGGCCGAAGGCUGUGCGCCGGAUGAGGAUGGCAGGCCAGGGCCUGCGACGUGGGGUUUUGGGUCGGCUGUGGGGCGGUUGCGUGGAGCAAGGCACGCCAGUCGCCAUCGAUGACGGCUCGGUGGCGCUCCGCCCUCUGCCGCCAGGCCUCCAGCCCACCAAGCCCGGCGCCGGCGCCACCUGUGCAGCCAGAGUUCAGCGAGCGUUGUGUGUUUAUGCAGGCCAGGCGUCACAGUUGGAUUUAUGAGCAACGCGCAUGUGGGUCGGGUGCAGGAAGCCACGGCGCCGCCCAGCCCGCCCUAAGAGGCGGCCGCGUACCUUGACACGACAGGCGGCCGUGUGUUUAGGGAGAGCCCGGGUCACAGCAACGACUGAGCCGGCCGCGAAGCGGGACUUGCCUGUUGUAUCCGUUACCAGAAAUAGUAGCGUGUGGCAUGUGGCUGCCACCGCGGCCUUAUCCAAGGGCCGCAGGCGGCGCAGCACAUCGGCGAGUAUGGCUGUAGGGAGGUCGCAAAAGGACCGCGCCAGCACGCCAGCAGCCUCCGGCACGCACUUACCAUCUUCAGGCAGCAUGGCUGUUAAAGCUGUUGCUAUAGCAUAAUUAUAUCCGCAUCAUCGUUCGGCAACCGGGAGUGCCCCUUCACGCCUAAGACGCGCAAACUCGAAACCUCGCCAACUGCGCCCGCGAGGUGGACGUGAGCUACGCAUGUGAAGUUGAUGAAAUUAAAUGAUCUACGAGUGCAGCUGGCGCUGGAAGGGUCGGUAGGAAUGCUUGAUGGGGCUGGCGCGGGUUCUCAUCCAUCGCGGUUCUCCUUCUAUUAAUCGAGUCCGCCCGGCUCCCAAAGCAUUUGCUUUCGACACACCAACACCACAACUGUCACGACCAAACUACGUACUACCUCAAUUACAUAUCAAACCCCGCGGCGUGCUACCUCCUUGCAUUCGCCUCUCAGAGUUUCCCUGCUCCCGCCAGCGCUACCAGGCCUGGAUUUUGAUCCUUUGGAAGGAUGGAGACGCUGUGGCCGGCUCCAUACGCCCUACCGUAAGUAGGAACGCAGAAGAAGCCGAGGAGACACGCAGUUGGGCCGCGCGAAAGUCGGUUGAAACGCAGCUCAAGCUGCAUUGAUAGAAAGUAAUUUGUGCUGCAAACUGCGUUCGGAUUUGGUGGGAAGGCAGUCGGGCGUUGUCGGGGAGAACGCGGCAAAACUCUGCAGACGCGGCCAAGCCUUUGCGUGCUGCGCCCUAGUCCAGGUUCCUGUCUGAUAUCACGGCGUAUUGAUUGGGCCGGUCAGAUAGACAUAAUUGCGCCUGGCGUGCGCCGAGCGGGCAGUUGACGCGCGACUGCUUUUAUGCGCAGGCUCCAGUCUGCGGCGAUGGCGCUGUCCGAACAGCAGCUUGGCCAACACAUUGAUUCUGGCAGCGAGGAGGACCACAUCGCGGUCGUGGCGCAGGUCCAGACUGGCAAGAAGCGACGCAGUGUGAGCGCGGAAGAGGACCCAGACUAUGAGGACGCCGCGCAAGGCGCGCAAGGCAUAACGCAUGAUGGUAAGCAAUUCGGGGAGGGCCUGGACAGAUUCUUGGUGCUGGACCCUGCUCGCCAUUCAAAUGCUCGAGGGCAGCUCGAGUUUCCUUCCAGCUCUGACUCCCAAGGCGAUGCUUAGAAGCGGUUCAAAUCCUCUUUUUCUAUCUAAGGAAAUCGCGUUGGGAUCGUUUUAGGUCCUGUCAGGCGCAGCCCUGUCAGCUCCGACUGGGCACGCCACCGCCACCUGGCACGAACCACCCGGUUUCAUUUUACCCCCGCCCCACUCUGGCUGUCCGCUUGCCAACGCAUUCAGCCAUAUGCCAGUUUUGACCACUAACACGAUGCUCUCUUCUCUUUCUUUUGCAUUGUGGUGGCUACUCGUCUGUAGGUACAUCAAACAAGGCCGGCUACCGAGGCGUACGGCGCCGGCCAUGGGGCUCCUACGCCGCCGAGAUUCGGGACGCAGGCUGCGGCAAGCGCCGGUGAGCAUUUGCUCCUUGACAUGUAUGGAACAUGUCCUACUCGUUUCGCCAUGCGGUAUGCUUGUACGGGGAUUGUCCUGGCCUGUCUGGCCCUAAGCCACCUGCCUCCUGAGCCAGCGGCCUCGAAGCCUGUCGAGGAAUCUUGUGGGAACUUUGGCUACAGGUGGAUUGGCACGUUCAAGACUGCUGAGGAGGCUGCACGGGCGUACGAUGAGGCCGCCAUUGCGCUGCAUGGGCCUCGCGCCAAGGUGAGACGCGCUCGAAUGCACAGUUUCGCUUGUCUUGAUCUGGGUCGGAUGACUUGCACGUCGCCCUGAUAUUGCUUGCACCCACCGUAACUGUGCGAUUCAAGCCAAGUCCGCGCGUCAGUUAUGCCAGCUAUCCGAUCACAGCGUGCCCGCCUGCGAGCCCCCGCGUCAACCUUCAGGCCGCUGACGCAACCCCGCUGCGCCCCCUUUGCAGACCAACUUCACCUACCCCUGCCAGCAGCAGAGCGCCGCCGCCGCGCCAGCCGCCGCACACAAGGCCCACAAGCCGCACGCCGCCGCCGCGCCGCAGCACCACAAGCCGGCGCACCACAGCCAGCAACCUGCUCAGCCGCGCAAGCAGCCGCUGCACCCCCGGCAGCCGUACCAGCAGCACCAGCCCCCCCAGCUGCCGACGCAUCAGGAGGAGGAGCAGUACCGGCGCAAGUCGGACGACUCAGACACCUCUAUGACCGCUGCGCUGCCGCUGCCGCUGUCGCUGACGGGGCAGCUGGGCCUGCCGCCGCUGACGCUGCCGGGGCUUGAGGGUCUGGACCUGAUGGCGCUGCAGUCCAACCCCGCGCUGCUAGCCGCGCUGCUCGCCGCCACGCGGCAGCACCUCCCGGGGUUGGCCGGGCCGGAUGCGCAGCCCGCCUGCCUGCCGGAGCAGCAGCUGUCGGAGCGGGUCUGGGUCCAGGAGCAGCCGGUGCAGGGGUGCGAGGAGGAGGAGGACGGGUUGGAGGAGCCGGAGCCGCCGCAGGUGCUGCGGCCGGAGCAGCUUCGGUCGCUGCAGGUGCUGGCGGAGGUGGCGCACCUGUUCGGGCGCCGCGACUUCUGCAUGUCGUGACCUUCGCCGGCGUGCCAGGUUCGGCAGGGCGUUAGGUAGGCAGCCGUGCAGGCUCAGCCGGGGUGACGUGGGCGAAGAAGAUGGCAAAGUGAUCUGGGUCUAUGUGGUGGGGGCUUGGGCAGUCAUUCGCAGGCCCCCAAAUAGGUUGGGAAUGGGUUGCCAAGGUACUUUUCCCGUGGGGCAGCAGCUUGGUAGGCAGACCGCGGGUGGGUGCAGGCGGCGCGGCUCUGCAGUGCUGUGCCGGGCUCCCGGAGCACGCUCCAUUCUGCGCCAUGUGAGUCAUGUGCGUGGGACGCCAGCGUAGCAGUCUUACGGUGCGCCUCAGCUGUUUCCUGUGUUUGUCGACAGCCUGGCGUCGAUUGUACUUUUCGGCUGUGCCACGGCGAGGCGGUGACUGCGCACAGACGAAGAACAAGGGGCGAGGGAUGAGACGACGACAGGACUGAGUGUGUUGGGCAUGGACUUCGUGCGGGAUGAACUUAUCAGGGGCAGUAGCCCAUGUUGGUGGGCACAUGUUUGGUGCGGUACCAAUCAUGCAUAGAUGCAUAACAUGAGGCUACCACAGACACGACCGCAGGUGGACGGCUGCAUGUCCGAUUAUUUUGGUUUCGAAGCCGAAGCUGUGUGUGGUGCGUUUUGAGUGGAUGACAACGCACGCGAUAGCGUGCCGGUGAUUCUUGCCGCUACAUGGCGCAGGCGCUGUGCAAUCGGUACAUGGUGAGGCACGCUCCCGACUCAUGGGAGCUGAGAUGGGGACUGAUGGUGUUAAGGCCUUUAUACAUAUUCUACGGCAGCACAACGUCAUCAGGAUUAAGGCGAAUCCAAUGUGUGGCUGCAAGCGGCUCUUGACCACGCAAGCCACAGCCAACGAUUGACGCUUCAUAAGGAGUGUGUAUGGGUACCGCAUGUGGAUGAUAAUCCUACCGAGAGGGACUGUGGUGGUGUCUGACACCUUCGCAAGACGGGCGUAUGCGUGAGAAAGUGAGGGUGCAAUUAGUGAUGCCAGUGAGGUUACAGGUGGCACGCGCCAUAUUCGUUUCCGCCAACUUGAAAGACGUUGGGAGGCGAGGAGAGACAGGACAAAGCUUAGGCGACUAGAUAUACUGCCAACGGCAUUGCAUGGUCGGGCUCAAUUUCCCCUGCCACAAUAAUUCGUGUAUCUAGCACGCACGUGAGCAUGGCAUCGUCAAUGCAAUGUGCGGCUGAGGUUGCCUGCAGGCGGGUGAAUGGGCUGUGAUUACUUUUGUUUGGACUCCCCUGUACGCCCGCCGAGCUCAGGCCUAGCUCUUUCAUUUUUCUUUCUUUGGGGGUCCAUGCGUUGCUUGGGGCCUGAACGGUAUGGGCCCCGAAGUGGGCGUAGAGCCACUGGGGCGGGUAAAAGACCCCCGACAGCAACACGGUACAAUUCAUCCCUGUGCAAGGGGCAACACGGUGUAACACAGCUGCCCACCUCGACUGCUCUCAUGAACCCGACCCCCUGACCCCAACCACAGCACAGCUGCUCCCUGGUUCGAAUACAUGUCUGCGGCCAUUUCAUCUUCUCCUACUCUCCUAGUCUCGGGGUUAACCAAUGGCCUCGCCCCCCCCCCUCCCGGGCGCCGCGACCCACCGUCCAGUGACUUACGGUUAGACGCUUUAUGUCGGUGGCAGGUGUAUGGGUGCUUCGGGGCAAUCAGCCGAUGAAGCAGCCUCCCCUCGGUUGCGGACUUGAAAUCCGGACGGCGUGUGCCAUAUGCACCGCCGCCCUGCUGCAGAGUGGCUGCGCCGGGCGCCCGCCUGCGUCCUCCUCCUUCACCUCCCCCGCCGCGCACAGCAGCUGCAGUCCGAUUGCGCGGCUUGCAUCAUUGCAUGUUUGCUGAGGGUACCUGUAUGCGGCAUGCAGCAUGCCUGACUGGGCGCUCUAUGCAUGCGACAUUACAAGAAAGGACAGUCCGACCAAGCAUGGGUGCCCAGCACCCAGGUCAGGAGGGAACCAUCUCCGGCCCGAAGGGAAACCGCCCUCCCCCCAGCUGGCUGCCGACCUUCACCAAACCGUGCAUUGUUUCUGCGCAAAAAGCGUGUCUCAGCUGCUACACCGGCAUACGGUAAGUCGAAGUCGCCCUAUGCUGUCAAGGGACAAGAAAAGGUGGCUCUCCCUCGCAAGGGAAAAGUGGGCUGCGCCAAAGGGGGAAUGGUAGAAGCUCAGGAUCUUGCCCCAUGCAUUAGAUAAGAGAGCGUUAGGGGAGCAUCACGCACGUACUUAUGGUUCUUCGGGGGUGGUCUGGUGAGCAAGUUCUGGGCCGUCAAAGUUGGGAGGUCAGUCGUGAUCGGGUUUCAGGAGCCCAUCCUGGCGGAUUUUGAGAAGCGCCCCACAACCAGGGGAUCUAGGCAUUUCAAUAACCAGAGCUAGGGGCCGAUCGCAGCACCGUGUGGCUCAAUUAUGCAUGUUACGAUGUGCACAAACAAAGCGUGGGAGGUCCAUUUGCGCGUCCUGGCGUGGACAAGUCGGGACAUGUCCGCACAUGCGACGCCUGCACGCUGACAUGGCUGGGCUCUCAAGCUCCAGUGCACAUGAAUUUAUUUCAGCUGCCGGCGCACGCUAUCGAUACGUCACAUGACAAAGCGUGGAGCGGGGUGGGUCGUAGGGAUUUCCAUGAAUGCAUCUUCGAAUGCAGAGCAGGACUCGUCAAGGAAAGUCGAUUGGGACCACUUUGGAUGGGUUGAAGGGUUUAAGGGUUUAACCCCUACACGAUAAGUCUGUGUCCGUGAGCAUGAGCAUUUACAUGGCGUCGAAGUCCAUGUGGCCCCACUAACUCUUCUGAGUCCGGAGGCGCUUGAUAGCAAAAAGCAAAGUGUCUUCUAAAGCGUCUAUACGCUGUUUACGCGCCUGAGCACGUAAUGCCCGCUCCACCUUUCCAUCGGGGUCGGAGCCCCUUCUCACGAAGAUCCUCAAAAGCCUUCAGUUGCUCCUUGCGCAUCUCACACCCUACCCGGGUCAGAUACGGUGCGACAACGGCACCAGCCGCACGGACCUGCUGCGCCACCCGAAUGAGCGCGCUCCGCUCCUGCUGUGUCACCUCCACCACGACAUGCCACACCUCCCUACCCUUUGACCGCCACGCGCGCACGUAUCGUCCGGAGACGUUUGCGCCACUCGCACUGGCCACCGCCUCCAGAUUUCCAGCCGCCUUGAGUUUCUCGAGCAGCUCACGGCUAACCGACUUCAGCAGGACUUUACCCUCGUCGACCCCCCCGGAGCACCCUGCUCGGGCCAGGGCGCGCUGAGUGUCCUCUAGCGCGCAACGUUGCUCCUCCAUCUGGACUUGCAGCGCUGCGACCGUGCCUUGCAGCUCCUUCUGCCGCCGUUCAGCUGCAAGCGCAGCGCCCUGGGCCUCUGAGACAGAGGCGUGGAGCGCCAGCGCUUGUAGCUGCAGCUGCUGUAUGCUGUCGCCGUGCUGCGUGGCUGCUGAUGUUUGCUGCUCUAGCUGCCCAAGUGCCUCCUCCAAGGCCGCUAGGUACUCCUGGAUGGUCGCGAGCGCUGGUGUUGUGGCGAGAUCGAACAGGCGGGUCGUGUAAGACAGGCGCGUGAGACGCUGCAGCAGUUUCGUAGCGCGCUGAAAUGGGAAGGCCGCGCCAGAGUCCGGAGUGCCGAUGCUCAUCGCACUAGUGCUGGCAACCGGGCAGGAGUCCUGCUGGUCGCUGACACUACUGAAGCUCCCAAAGCUUUCCAAACGGCACCCAGGCCCACUGCUCGCCGUGCUCGGCGGCAGCUCGGGCUGGGGCGACGAUCGGGCUGAGGUUCCUGCGAAAGCGGCGGCCACCGCCCUGUCGGUAGCUUCACGCAUUUUUGCCUGAAAUGUUUCGUAGAAAUUGUGCUCGGCCAUGUUUUGUUAUCUCGUGUCGUGUUUGGUCAGGUGGCCACUUUGAGUCGUUGUGUUGUGUUGUGUUGUGUUGUGUUGUGUUGUGUUGUGUCCUGGGGGUGGUCCAGAUUGGUCGUACCCGAAUUCGGGUCUGGCACUAUCUUUCUUCAAUCCCCCCCCUGGCGCCCAAGCCAUGUUGGUGCAUGCCUCUUCAUCUCUUUCACAAGCAUAUAGUGACAUCUGCUUCCAUGCCGUGACAAUCUGGUCCGCUUCAGUCGAUGCACCCCGUCAGCGUCACCGCGGUCACUCCGGUACGCCAACACGUAGAAAUUCUGCCGCAGGUGUCGUGCAACACAGAAGCUGUCUGCACUACUGGGAUUCUGGGCGCGGUGGCAACUGCUGUGUUUCCCAGGGCUUUUUUGCUUCUUGGCCGCUGGCCCCUUCCCCAACGCAACUUAGCUGUGCACAGUACAAAAGCCGCCCACCCCCUGAUACGGAGCGACACGUGCCUCCCGAAACGCCAGUUACAGGGAAUGUUCCCGUAACGUAUAAUCCACUCGGUCCGCUUUUUCAGGCACGCAAGGAGUCGACACGCGGCUGUGCAGCCCGAAACAGCGCUUUUUGCACUCUUGCAAGCUCACAUGCGCCAUCUGCCUGUGCAUCGUUCAUUCUUUCUACAUCAUCUUCCGAAUCUGCUCUCCUGCAUGUCUCGUCUAUGACCUAACAGGCAUCCCGCGAGUCUCUGCAUUGGCGGCUACCACACGACAUACCCGCAUCAACACAACCAUCAACGGUUUGCAAGUAUUGCAACGUUUUAAAGCAAACAAUCAAGUCAUAGACGUCAAGAAGGUGUGCAUUCCAUCUGAAUGCAACACCUAGAAGUUCCAAGAGAGAGGGACGGGCAGUGACGCCCAUCGUAUUGUAUGUCCGCCCGCUCCUAGCCCGCUAACAAUGUACAUGGGAUCAUCUUGUAAUGAUCGACGGUCAAGCUGCUGCUUGUCCUGCCGCUUACGGCUGGGCAGCGGCGAACAGAGGGCAGCUGCAAAGCAGAAUGAAAAAUGGAGGGACAAGAUCAGAACCACAACCGAAGGCGUGUCGAGGGGGGGCACGGCGCAACCCAUAGCUAGCCAUUUCUACAUGCCAUGCCAACCCCAUAGCAGCACACAGUACUGCUUUUUAGACAUUAGGACAAGCAAACCUCAAGCAGUCACAUCCCAACUCACCAGUUCUUCGUGUCGUCAAACACGUUGCCCCAGCACACGCCAUCGUUGGCAGGCAGGCAGAAGUCCGACAGGGGGGUGUCGUUCUUCAGCUCCAGGCAGAUCUUGCCGCCAUUCGCCUGGUCCUUGCUCCAGUUCAGGGGGGUAGCCUUAACGGUCUGCUCGUCCACAGCGCCCCAGGUGGCGGACAGCCACUUGCCGGUGCCGGUCUUGGGCUGCACGUACACGCCGGUGAUGGCGCGGCGCUUCUUGUCGUCGGCGUAGAACUCGGCCUUGAGCAGGCUGGUGCUCCGGCCGCAGGGGCUGGUGGCGCUGUUGGGGGUCACCAGGGUGAUGCUGAAGCAGUAAGCAGUGGUGUCCUUGGUGCGGCCGGCCAUGCUCGACAUCGCGGGCGCAAUGGCGAAGGGGGUGGCGCCGGGAGUGGUGACGCACUGGCACUUGGGGAAGUCGGGGGUCUGCAGGGCGCAGGCGGCCGAGGCCUGGGCGUUGAUGCACGACUGGGGCAGGCCGGCGACGGCGUCGCCCAUGCCGCCAACAGAGACGACCACGGUGUAUCCGGCCAGGGCGGGGCGGCAGCCCUGAGUCACCAUGUCCAGCCAGAAGUUGAUCUGGGUGUCAACGAAGCUCUGCAGCUUGGCGCCCUCCUCGUUGGAGAAGAAGGUGGCGCACACCAUCACCAGGUUGCCGGCGCAGCUGGUGGACCCAGGGGUCACGGUCACGCCGAGGUCGGAGGCCUGGGUGGCCACGUCGUCCUGAAUGGUGGCGAUGUAGCCCUGGCACUCGUCGUUGCUGAUGGAGUAGGGGAACAGAACGCGGCUGGCGUCGCUAACGGUCAGCGAGAUGUAGACGCAAACCUGGCAAGGAGGAGGGGGGCUGGGGGGAGGAGGGCUCGGGAUGCCGGGCGUGGAGAUAGGGCAGCAGUCGUUCUGGCUGUCGAACAGCGCAGCCGAGCACACACCCUUGGGCAGGCCAGGGGGAGGAAUGCACAGCUCCUCAAGGGUGGUGCAGCCCUUGCCGUUCUUGUUCAUCGACAGGGUGAUGCAAAUCUCAGCACCGUCGCUGGCCAGGCCCAGGCCCAGCUGGGUCAGGACCAGGGUGGUCGAGCCAACGGGGCCAUCGGUGGGCUCGUGGAACGAGACACCGACCUUGGUGGGCACGCCGUUGAUGGUGGCCUUCACCACCUCGCCGAAGACGUCGCACGCCUCGUAGACGUUGAACUGUGUACAUCAAAAUGAGGAACAAACUCAGAGAACUUCUUGAAAAAAGAACUCACACUGUGGGUUGCUGGCUGCUGCGACUUUGAAACCGCGACCCGAUGCGCCGACAACCCACCUCGAUCUUCUUGAGGUCUGCCUUGGAGCAGCAGUAAUCGGUGCAGCCAGCCGGCACCUUGGCGCUCAGCUUGAAGCAGUACUGGUUGUUGCCCUUGGCAACGACAACAUCACCCAGCUUGUAGGCCGAGGGAGACUUCUUGCACUGGCAGUAAGGGAACGAGGUGUACAAGCCCGACUGAGCACCCUGGGCGGCCCUGCAGAUUCAGAACGAAGGGCACACGCGGCACGGAGUUACUGCCAGCGGAGCAAGCGGAGUCUCGGCGACGGGAUAGCCUGCUUGCAACUUGCUGUCAAAUCCGGUGGUGGCGCUACGAUCACUGUUACGCUAUGCUGAAAUCAUGAAAAUAGCCCGAGCAUGCUGUAAGAGCGCCGGUUGCAAGAAGGCCGACCGCAUUCAAGCUGCGCAGCGGACCCACACGACCACUAUUUACGCCGUGAGCGUAAAUGAUUAUCUUUGACUAGAGUCAGCGAUGCUCGUCUAUUCUACAACUCAGGAGCUUCCCGAAGCGACAAAUCUGUGAAACGCGCGGUCUUGCUACUCACGCAAUUGCGGCCGCGAAAAGAACGGAGACUAGAAUGCUGCACCUCAUUGUCACAGAGGUGGUUCAGCUAUAAAGAAAUUGUGAGGCACGCGGGCUUAUCAUGGGGGGCCCGGCUGGUCGAACGAGUCGUACGCCCGCCAUUAACCGCGGGCGCGUUAGUUUGGCGUGCGAUGCAAUCAUUCAUGCAACCGCGCCACUUCGACAGUGCCGGAAACAACUUUUAUUUUUGUGGGUAUGCAUCCGGCUAUUCGGUAGGACAGCAGCUGCGUUACGCUCAAACUCGGGCAAACAAUUGGGCUAGCGGCGUGAGCUUGCACCUCACAACUAUCAUCACACAAGUUAUUUAGAUACUGGCCUACCUUGGGCCAUCUCCAAAACUGCCUGUCCAGCCCGGGAGCGGCGGAGCUGUUUCGCCCGCGGUUUGGAGUGGCUUUACUCGUGCCGACGCAAGUCCUUGAUUUUUGCAUUAUAAAAAAAUUAUAGAGUACAGCUAUAGCAACCAACUUGGCAAUGGAGCUGCUGGCAUGGUCCAAACGCGGGAAGCUGGCGCCUUCUAGGCUCUUUGGAGCCCUGUCGGCUUCACAAGUGGCUGAUGCUCAAGUUGUGCAUCGCUUUGGCCGGACAAAUGUCUCCUAGUAACCCGGUUCACAAGCGAAGCGUGAAACGAAAGCAAAGGAUGCUGCGCGCCGGAAGCGAAACGUUCGAUGCACCUAAUUGGGCGCCAAGCGCGGAACCUUGCAGUCUCAGAUGCGUGUGUGCAUGGAAGGAGAAGGCUGGCGGAGGCGAGAGGAGCGGGGGCAGGGAUUGGCUUUCGUGGGGGGGGCGGGGCAAGUGGCGCGGGCGGGGCUGGGGGGGCGAAGAACGGUGAAGACCGGUGCGAUGGCACAGGGUAAGGGGCAGGUUGGCGUAGUCCCGAGUCCCGAGAAACAACUUACGCCCAACCCAGGCGCCAAUGAAACAGGUGAAGAGCUUGAGGACCCCCCUCCCGCUGUCCGGGCCUUACACACAAGCAGGCCAAGUGCGGGGGGAGCCGUAGCGCACACCAUAUACCGUACUGUCACUGUGCUCGAUUUCGUCGCUAGUGACGCCCCUGCUGGCUAGGGUAGCAAGGGUAAUGGGGGUGAACGAGCCGGUUGCUUAGGCUGUGCCAGCUUUCCCCGGGUUUCAUUGGGGUCACACACUUCACUGAUGCACAACUUUCAGAGCCAGGGGGCUGCAUCCUCCGGCAAGCAGACGCCAGGAGGGUGUCCCUGGCCGCAUGCGCUGGGUCCUGGAGUCUACGGUACGCGUUGCCGCACGCGUCGGUUGGCCAUCCAUUCCCCAUCCUUAGACACAAUGACUGUGUCAUGUGUGCACGUUGCGCUUUAGGCUCGGCCAGCGGCACCCUGGGUUGGGUGUGUGAUGGGUUGGGUCUCGGUUUGAGAGGUGUGACCCUUGCAGAAAGCAGGACUCUCCACACUCCCCUCCCGUGCUGUGCAUGUAUGUUCCUGCAUGCACGUGUGUGUAUGAAGUGAAUGGCUCAGCCAACGGCUGUGUGUGCAUGUGGCCCGCGUAAAAUGCAAUUUACCAGUGAUGGGCACUUCUAUCAGGGAGGGGUAGGAAACAAAGUGCCAGACCCCAUGCCCCGAAAUCCCCCGGGACCCCCCUUGAGGGGACGACCGACCCCCCGACGGACAAAACCUUGUUGUUCAGCGGUUAAAACCCCUCCAUUUAAUACCAAAGUAGUGUCAAUCGACUCCUCUUGACGAGCACUAUCACUCCGUGCCAUCAGCGGUCCUGUUCUGAGACUUCGGUCACGGGCGGGAUCCUAUCCAUGGAAAUCCCCUCGACCCAGACCACCCCGCGCUCAACUCUUUGCCGCGUGACGAAUGGACAAUGUGCAUCGGCAGCCUUGUUAGACGUGAACUCAUGCGCAUCAGCGCUUCAGAGCCCAGCUGUGUCAGUGCGCAUAUGUUGAAUGUGGAGACAUGUCCCGACAUGUCCACGUCCGGACGCGCAACUUAGCCCUCCCACGCUUUGUUUGUGCUUAUUACGUCAUAACGUACACAUAUGAGCCUCGCACUGCUGCGUUUGGCCCCUAGUUCUGCUUGUGGGGCGCUUCCCGAAAUCCGCCAGGAUGGGCUCCCGAAACCCGACGGACCCCCAGGGACGAGGACCGACCCCCAACUUUGGCGGCCCAGAACUUCCUCACCAGACCCCCCUUUAAAAAACUAAAAGUACGUGCAUAAUGCUCUCCUGAAGCUCUCUAAUAUUGAGCAUGGGGUAAGAACCUGAGCUUUCUAACCCCCCCCUGCCAUGGCGGCCACAAUGCCAAGAUGCUACCUGGCGGCGCCACGCACAGCAGAGCCCUGUGCUCCGCAAGGAUGCACACGUGCACACACGCACACACAUGUGCGAACACACGUGCACCUGCCCUCCAUGCCACUCGCCCCGCCCCUUCCCCCUUCCCUCACCUCAGUUAUGGCUGACUGGAUGCGGUUGAUCUCAAACAGCCGGCUGCGCCCCUCCUGGGAGCCGCCGCCGCCGCCGCCAGACAGGAGGUCUGGAGUGCGUGUGAGGAAGGGGAGGGGGGGGAUGUGCCCGAGCCCGAGGUCUCAAGCGUCAAGGAAUUGUUUCCAAACCAGGGGGAGGAAGCGGUAGGGGGGCGCGAAGUGUGAUGUUUGUCGGGGUAAGGUGUGAGGCAUUGGGCAUGGAGCGUAAGGCGGGCAUCAAGGCGGGUAGGGUGUCGGCCUGUGCGCUGUCACCCAAGCCACGGGCGCACCGUUAGCACGCACGCACGCGCACACGCUCACACUACGCACCUGCGGCCGCCUCCUGCCCCUUGCUGGUGGCGCCGCUCCCGCCGCCGCCCCCACCUGCACCCCCAGCAGCCGCCCCGCCCGGCACCGGAGCGCUCACCACCACCUGCGCCUCCGCCGCACCCUCCACCGCUGACUCUGCUCCUGCUCCCCCUCCUGCUGCGGAUGCUUCCGCUGGUAGCUGCACCACUGGCGUGUGCCGUGGAUGCGGUGGGUGCGGCGCCGCCAAGCCAGUCACCGCCGCCACCACCGGCGCCAGCGCCGCCGCCACGGCAGCCGCCGGCUCCCCUCCCGAAAUCCGCCAGACACCCCCUUAAAAAGUUAAAAGUACGUGCAUAAUGCUCUCCUAAAGCUCUGUAAUUUUGAGCAUGGGGUAAGAAACUGAGCUUUCUACCCCCCCCCUGCUUCUAUCAACCGGUUGUGCUUUCGGGGUUACAUGGAAGAGAUUAGGCUGGUGGGGCACAGUGGUGCACGGUGACAGAGACAGCCUUUCUUCCCUGUCUGGGUCAGGGGACAGGUUGUGCCGCCCUCGAGUCCGAAUCAAAUCGUUCUUUGCAGCAUCCCUCUUCAGGAUGCUGAGUGGAGUUGGUGUCGGUAGUAAAGGCCAAGCCCAACGCCCAUUGCGGCAGGGCCCAGGUGUGGGCGGAACGCCCGCCAAGAUGAGACACGAUGAGAGGCACGGCCGAUCGCGCCGAGUUAAGCCAUCACCACGCCCAGUGUUCCGGCCGGUUGUAACAGAUCAACUGUUACGAUCCCUGUUCGAGACAGGGCUGGGCCCUAACUUAUGCCUCUUACGAGUCUUCUAGUGAAUACGCGGUCACCCAAGUCUCAUCCGUUGGACAUCUCCAACCCCUUGCCAGGCUCUACAGUGAGUUAUGUCCGGGGUGGGCUAGGUACUGCUACCCCAGGGGAGAGCCUUCCCUGGCAGAGCCCAGGCCCUGCCGUAUUCCUUACCGGGUCGCACACCCACCGAAGUACCGAACCACGCGUCACGGUCUGGGAAUCAGCUGCACCCUACGGGACUUCACCAACCUGCCUUAACACUGUCCCAUACCACGCGUUACGUUUCUCCACGAUCCGCGGAACGGCGGAAACACGUAUUGACAUGUGUACACCCGCAAGGAGACCGCGGGUGGGUGAGAAUACUGCGCCUGCGCCUGAGAGCCCCGGGGCAAGCUGUCUCAUCCCCGAACGUAGAACUCAUAGAGUGCAGUCUGUGCAAAAGGGAAAGCGAGAUGCAAAGGACGAAGCAGGAGUCGUGUGACGCGUUAGCGUGGAUAAACGCCUGGCGGAUGAGAUCGGACAUGGCAACUUGGAAAUGGGCAGGUUGGUGUUAGUCCUGUGGACCUGAUAUACCCGAGCCGGUUGAGGGCCUCAUGUGCAAAACCGCCAGCGCCGGUCUGCUGGCCUUAUCUGGGUACACGCAGUACCGGUGCGGUAGCUGACGAUGCCAGCGUUAUUGACGAGUGUUGCGGAACUAAUGCGUACGUAGACCAGAGCGGAAGGCGGAGUGGGCUUGCAGGCGGCACGAGAGUAGGCAGUCAGUAGCGCAAGUUGCGAAUUCACAUGUUACCUCGUAACCGACGGUAAACGCUGCGGACGGUCGCGCCCAUGGCUGGCUGACGGAAGGUGGCUGCUGUAUUGGGAUGGCUGGGCUGGACGACGCCGGCCGGGCUGGCGUGCACGAUGUGCACAAACCGUUCCGCCUGCAGAUUGCAGAAAGCCCUGACGCCAGCUGCGCAUCCUGACGGAUGACACGUUGGGGGCUGUCACUCAGCUGCUGACUCGGGACCACCGUGCUGUCCCCUGCCGCAGUUACCGCCGCAGCCUGGCUGGCAUUCAACUUAUGUUGAAAAUUAUAUCAAUAUGACGCGUUCGUACUGUGCCCCCAAACCGGUUUACAGGGGCAACAGGCAAUAGCCCUGCGCACAAACUCCUGCUUCUCACCAGAGCUUUCGCCGUUAUGCACGGCCACGGGAACAAUGGUCCCGGCCAACCACAUCUAUGAACCGUGUCCGUUAGCCUCUCCUGAGGCUUGUAACCGGAACGCGGCUCCGCUGAUUGCAGUCCCAGGAUGACGCUAACCUAAGCAAACAGUCAAUGCGCAUGAUCAUUUACACACACGAGUGCUCUUAUGUACUGCCCAUAUUAAACACAGUCGAGUUGUGGAUCAGUUGCACGAUUCACCGCGCCAGCCCUCGCGGCGGUGCUUCACGCAAUCCGCAUUCAGCUGGUGGCGAGUCGCCAAGCCGCCCCCAACAAAACCCGCACCGCACCAAGUGCCAUGCCGUUUAGACACACGCGCACAACACUAAUCCUGCGAGGCAGUGAUCUCAUCUGUCACUUUGUCAACUACCCAAUCAAGCCAUUUUUCCGAACCCAAUUCAAAACACGCGCCCACGGGCGAAGCUGUGCGCCGUGGCUGUAGCGGCUGCUGCCUCUGCUGCCAACGCCUCACAAAAUCCACCCGUGGCCGUCUGCCACAUAAGCUCCAGCGGUCACCAGCUAUGCUCCGUGCCAGCUCGCGAUAUUGCCAGGCCGUGUGGCCGCAGCAGCUGUUUGCACAGCUGCCGCGAAGCAAGUCCGCUGCCACAAGAACUCAAACAGGGUGGGUCAGCCGCGCGGCUUCCAAGCGGCUUCCACCUUGUGUGUAUGGACACGCGACGCCUCGGCUGCUGCGGGCUGUGCCAUUUACGGCAGGCUCGCCUGGUACAGCGGGCAGCUGCGGGCAAGACACGGGAGGGGUGAGGAAUGGCGGUCAGAUACGUGACAACGUCGAGGCAGAUGUCCGCGGGGAAGUCCGUGGGCGAAGCCUAUUGAUUUAGAUCCCGCAAGACAACCCACAUUGGCAAGUACGUUGUUGCGAGCGUGUCAAUGCAAACCCAACUCACCAGUUCUUGCUGUCGUCGAACAAGUUGCCGUAGCACGAGCCGCCGGGCGCGGGCAGGCAGAAGUCCGACAGGGGGGUGUCGUUCUUCAGCUCCAGGCAGAUAGUACCGCCAUUCGCCUGGUCCUUGCUCCAGUUCAGGGGGGUAGCCUUGACGGUCUGCUCGUCCACAGCGCCCCAGGUGGCGGACAGCCACUUGCCGGUGCCGGUCUUGGGCUGCACGUACACGCCGGUGAUGGCGCGGCGCUUCUUGUCGUCGGCGUAGAACUCGGCCUUGAGCAGGCUGGUGCUCCGGCCGCAGGGGCUGGUGGCGCUGUUGGGGGUCACAAGGGUGAUGCUGAAGCAGUAAGAGGUGGUGUCCUUGGUGCGGCCGGCCAUAGUGGAAAUGACGGGCGUGAAGGCGAAGGGGGUGGCGCCGGGCGUGGUGACGCAAGCGCACUUGGGGAAGUCCACAGGCUCGGGGGCGCAGGCCUGGGACUGGAAGCCGCUCAGGCAAGACGCAUCCGGGGCCUGUGCGGAGCCGCCGAUGCCGCCGACGGCGGCGUAAGCGCUGUAGCCAGUCAGGAAGGCGGGGCAGCCCUGGACGCCGGUGAUCAGCUGCAGCCAGAAGGGCAGGCGCUCAUCGAUGAAGGGCUGCAGCUCGGCGCCCUGCUCCGAUGAGAAGAAGGUGGCGCACAGCUUGAUCACGUCGCCAGAGCAAACAGCCGGGGCGAAGUUGAUCGCGACGCCCAGGUUCUCGGCCUCGGUCUGGAGCUCGUCGCCGAUCAUAGCAGCGUAGUCGUCGCAGUCCUGCUGGGAGAACUCGUAAGGGAAGACAACGUUGCCGGUCUCAAGGAUGGAGAGGUACACGCAAGCCGUGCAGGGAGGAGGAGGAGACGGAGGAGGCGGGCUGGGGGGAGGAGGGCUCGGGAUGCCGGGCGUGGAGAUAGGGCAGCAGUCGUUCUGGCUGUCGAACAGCGCAGCCGAGCACACACCCUUGGGCAGGCCAGGGGGAGGAAUGCACAGCUCCUCAAGGGAGGUGCAGCCCUUGCCGUUCUUGUUCAGCGACAGGGUGAUGCAAAUCUCAGCACCGUCGCUGGCCAGGCCCAGGCCCAGCUGGGUCAGCACCAGAGUGGUGGAGCCGACGGGGCCAUCGAUGGGCUCGUGGAACGAGACACCAACCUUGGUGGGCACGCCGUUGAUGGUGGCCUUCACCACCUCGCCGAAGACGUCGCACGCCUCGUAGACGUUGAACUGUGGAGAAAGAAAACCAGAAGGGUGAGAAUGGUUUGGACAAGCACGCUAGCAGACGCCAGCAACUCUGCUAGCGACAAGCCGCGAGCGUCGGUUACUGUGAUGCUCUUCGACAUUCCCGCUCGACUUUCUGGCAUAGUCGCAACCACGUGCUUACCUCGAUCUUCUUCAGGUCCGCCUUGGUGCAGCAGUAGUCAGUGCAGCCAGCCGGCACCUUGGCGCUCAGCUUGAAGCAGUACUGGUUGUUGCCCUUGGCAACGACGACAUCACCCAGCUUGUAGGCCGAGGGAGACUUCUUGCACUGGCAGUAGGGGAACGAGGUGUACAAGCCCGACUGAGCACCCUGGGCGGCCCUGCAUUCCGAAGGCACAAGGGCAAAAGAUGUGUUGGUUCGCAUGUGUGCAUCGGCGUGCAGUCUUGAACCCAUGUGUGCAUGACGUCCUAGAGAAGAUGACACUGCCAUGUACUGAUCGAUUGCGCUCCAGGCUCCAUCAAAGGCCCGCCGGCCUAAGCUGGGGAAUGCUGGCGUGCUCCAGUGGCUGUCGAGCGUCCAGGAAAGGCUGAGCUGCCACCGUGAGCUGGGGAUGCUUUCACGUUAUGACCAACACAUCUGUCUGUGACAUACAUCAAGCUAGGGGCUGGAUCGCCUACGCCGCGACAAAAAUGGCGCGACUCCGAGAGAGCCAUCACAGACACUACUCACGCGAAUGCGGCAGCCACGAGAACGGCAACCAGCGAAUAGCUGGACCUCAUUGUUACAGAGGUCGUUCAGCUAAUUAUGGUGACCAUUUGCGCGCCGAGGGCUAUAAAUUCUGCUGGCCGAUUCCGUACGACGGCCCGCCCGCCGUCUGCCUCGACUUCGACUCGCCUCCUGGCACGCUCGACUGGCUUGCUGGCAUUGGUAACAGCCGAAUGCCGAUGCGAUUUAAUCACCAAGCCAAAAUCCACACGCAAUGUCAGCGGGCGGCGAGCGCCCACCAGGUUUUCGCGAUGAACAUGUUUUCGCGAGGCCAGUUUUACUAUAAUAUAAAACAAACUACAAGGUGUGAGCCAUCAAUAGCUUGAUCAAGGAAACACAGGAGUUGGUCGGCCGGAUUGCGGCCUGCCAUAAAUGGAAGGCAAUUUUAGGGUUGAGCCUUGUAACAAAACUGUUAGCAACAAACAGUUUCUACGCAUCUUAAGGGCCCUCUACAGGGCCCUUAAGAAUCGCGACAGCUUAUUCCUCUCAACGGUCGCUCGCUGCCUCUAGGGAUUCUGAGCCGGUCUCCUUUCUUAAAAGCAUUUGUAUCUAUACUGACUGUGGGUCUUCUAUAGACGACGGCCUGCUGUCCUGUACGCCAUUCAUAUGUUCUGGGUCUCUGCGGCCGGGAAGGGCCCGGGCAUACUCUCCUUAAUGGUCAAAGAUAAUGGGUAGACAACCGUCACCGUAAAACUCCAGCUUCGGGGCUGACUUCCGGCAAGGUAGUUAUUGGCGCGUCGAACAUCGUGCGGUCGACCUGACCGCGCUCGCUCGCCAGCCUGAAAAAGGACUACGUUUGUGGUGCUUAAUACAGCUUUCAUACGACAUGCUGUGCUGCCUCCAUCGCGUACUGCCAGCUGACAGUCUGAAGGGCAAACGACCAUGUUGUGGUUUUGGUGGCCGCGUGGCGCCCGUUCGCCUGCGCGCCCGCCCACCGCGCCCCCGGCCAAGCUUGAGUUUCUGUGGCAUCCUUGAACUGCAUGCCCCAACAGCUCACCUAAGUAGCUUCGGUUAGUCUGCAGGUGCCAAGACGCCUUCGCGGCACUUGGCGCAGCCGGGGCUGGCCGUGCCGUUGAACACCAGGGCCAGGGCUCCCCCUCCAGCUUCCCUGCGCCAGGGCUUUGGGGGCGCAUUUAAGUGGGCGGGUCCGCAAGUGGGUGGGUCUGCUGUGAAGCCCUUCAUGGGCUGAGUCCGCUUGUUGCCUUGCUCAACAAGGGCUGCCAGGUUUGGAGUGGCCGAGGGUAUGGGCCUUUGCAUGUAGUGUCACAAGGGUGUGACUACAGCACCCGAUGUGAAGAGUCUGACGCGGGAUUGGCCCGUCAGGCACGCCACGCACCGGCAGGCACGUGCGGGAGCUGGAGCUUCACAUGUUCAUUGUGGCAAUAUGCAGCUAGUUAUUUACAUAUUCUGCAAGGGGCACGUUCCGACUCCCAUGCUCCCAUAUGCAGUUGAGAAAUGCGUCUAACCUGACAGGCUCAGGUCUCAGCAUGACUGCGCGCAUGCUUUUACUGAAGUCCAAGCCACUGCUCCACACCACACGCAACGCCUCACGUUGAUGCCCUGUGCCGCGACAAAACUGAAGAGCUGCGCGCGCCAUCUAUCUCCCGCCGGGUUCACCCAUGCCAUCGGUGAGUGAUUAUCGCACUGCAGUGUAACAAGCGAUCCGCCAAAACCCCACUCCAUGAGUCAAGUUGGGCCCUGAUAGCAUGUGAUGGCUCGGCGUCUUCGGGUGCUGGGACUGUCCCCUCUGUAACAUCCGCAUUCAUGAGUCUGAUUCCGCUCAUUCAAUGCGAAUCUGACACAGUCCACACGCCAACAAAACCUUCUUCAUCAGAACUGCCCCCUAAAGCCUCAUGGUGCAAGAUGUGUGGUCCCCCCCGCAUGGGAAAAGUGGGCUGAGCCCACGCGACGUCUCUAGUCUGAGGCCGCAAGCGUCUACCUCACCUCCCUGACAUAGCCGGGGUCGGUUCGUACAGGCACGGCCCGCCAUGUGUCCAGCCACGUCCCGCUGCCAAGCAACAGCACAGCCAGCAAUCAACCAAACAGCAGGAAACCCUCUAACAUUCCUCACUGCCCCGGCCUACCACAUACUGCCCAGCCAUCCCAAUACAGCCGCCACCUUCUGUCAGCCAGCCAUGGGCGCGACCGUCCACAGCGUUUACCGUCGGUUACGAGGUAACAUGUGAAUUCGCAACUUGCGCUACUGACUGCCUACUCUCGUGCCGCCUGCAAGCCCACUCCGCCUUCCGCUCUGGUCCACGUACGCAUUAGUUCCGCAACACACGUCAAAUACUGUGCGGUGCUAUGCUCGCCAGCAAAGACCCUAACCAGACACCGGCCGACCUCAACCUGCGCGCCGGCGCCGGUGCCGCUUGUUGGGCGCCUCAAGGUGAAAACAACAACCCAAAGCGCAACUUACCGCGUAUACGCAUAGGAUGAAUAAGACCCGUAAGUUCAGAUCUCCACCUCAAACCUCACCAGCCCAGAGUUUGCUUGGCAUGCAUGAAGCAUUUCGACGCCCUUCCGACCGCUCCAGUACCCACAAAUCAAGUUGAAUGGGGUUUCUCCAGAGCAGCUGAGGCUGGCUAUGGGCAUGGGUUGACCAGCAGCCAGGUACAGAUAGAGAUCUUUUGCCUCAGCAGUUUGUACGACCAGACUGCAUGACGCCUGAUGACAAAGUCGUAUGCACGAAACCAAACUAACUGCGAACUGCGAUCCAAGUUGUAGGUAUCCGGAGUACCGUACCUGACCCGGAUACCACACUGUUCAUAUCGCGCAGGGGCCGAAGGGGUUGCGGAGCCAACCGCCACCGGUGCCAUGUGUGAUCCAGUCAUAACGCAUUUUAGUAGACUUGAAUAAAGCUUGUUGGCCUGUUUACCAUUAAUAUGGCAUGGUUCGGCCUUACGGAAAAUGCACAGCAAUGCUGAACACGCUGGGGUGGCAACCGUGGCGCAUGUACUGCGCAACAGCCCUAGCCUGCCCCCAGUAGCACUCGCAUGCCUGCGCCCGAACUCUUGCAUCGCACACCACACUCAACCGUGUAUUGUUGCAGCAACUCAAGUCCUCGUCACGCCCCACUUGGCCCUCAUUCGGGUCAGCAGUGAUGCAUACAAGUACAUGGUAGCGCUGUCGCUGCAACCUCCAGCGCUCGCAGCUUCCGGCGGCGGCACACGCUCCCGGCGGCGGUGGGAGUACGAAGGAGGGCACGGGCCCACGCCAGCCUUGCCGCCGGCAUGACUGGCCACUCCGCCAUGUCUGUCUGCGGCGCUACCCGCAGCUGCCCCUCAACCCUUACACAGGCGCCGUCGCUGCCACCGGCUCCGCAGCAAUAGCUCAAGGGGCAGACGCCGCUGCCGCCGCUGCCGCCGUGUCACCAGCCUCAGCGCCGCUGGCGGCGGCAGCCGCCCUCCCUGCCGGCGAUGCAUCUGUAGCACCCGCGCCACCGCCGCCGUAGCUACCGCCCGUGGCGGCGGCGGAGCCGGCAGAAGCGGUUGACGCCGGAUACAGCAACGGCAGCGUCACGCUCUCCGACGGUGCCAACACGGGCAGGACGCCGCCACCGCCGCCGCCGCCGCCGCCGGUGCCCACGAGCGAGAGGUGUGACGACGAUGCAAUCCCCAGACCCAGUGACGGCAUGAGGCCGGCGAAGCUGGGGGCCUGCGAUGAGAAGGACAGCAGCCCACCCACGCCCAGGCCCGUGCCGGCGCCGCUGACCUCGCCGCCCGCCGCCGCGGCGGCAGCGGCGGCGGCCGCAACCGCGGUGGCGGCGGCCGCCGAGACGCUGGUCGCCGUCGCUGCAACCGACACGCCCAUGGCCUCAGCUGCGCUGGCGAACGCUGGCAGGGCCCGCGGCCUUGCUGCGAAGGCGGAGGUGCUGCCGACGCCUGCGGCGCCUGUAGCGCCGGUAGCUGCUGCGGCUGCAUCGCCACCGUUGCCUCCGGUGCUGGCGUCAGAGGCAGGCGGCGCAGCCGGCGGCGGCGCGUGUGACGGGGCUGCAGGCGUUGGCGAAGCGGGAGCACCAGAAGGCGCGGCGGCCGCGGCGCGGCCGAGGGCGCGCAAAGGCGUUGGUGUGCCGCCGCCGAUGGCAGCGUACGGCAGUUGGUUGCUGCCUGUGCGGAUGGGCGGUGCUGGCGGCGACGGCGGAGCUCCCAUUGCCGCCGCGAGUCCUAGGUCCGGUGCGCUGUUGAGCGCCGCCGCCGCCGCCGGCGGCAGCAGCCCGUUAUGUGUGACCCCUGCCGCUGCCCCCGCUACCGCCGCCGAGCCCGCUUCCGACACCGUGUUCAGUCCUGCAGCCGCCGCCGCCGCCACCGCCUCUGCCGCCGCCUCUGCUGCCGCCCCCAUCUGUCUGAGCGCGCGGGGUGAUAGCGGUGAGCCCAGCAAUGACGGCGCUGGCGCCGCCGCUGCCGCUACCGUCGAUGCCUCAGCAGAUGCCAGCAUCACGCGCGAGCUGCUACUGCUUCCAGCACCGCCGCCGCCGUCGCCACCAACACUGCUGGCUGCUGCAACGUUCCUGCUACUGCCACUGCCCCCCGGAAACAAGCCGUGCGGCAGCGUCCCCGGCGGCACGGGGCUUCCCGGCGGCCCCGAGCCCGAGGCGACUGCCGCCGCGCCCUUGGCACUGCUGGCGCCGCUGCCGCCGCCGCCAGGGCUGACGCCGCCGCCGCCGCCGCCGCGCGGGCGGCUGGUAAUUCGUUUCAGCACUGGACCGCCGCCGCCAAGCAGCCCGCCCAACGCCCCCCCCAGUAGUACUGGCGGCGCCAUGCCAUCCUCAUCAUCCGAAUCGUCCAGGACCACAGCCGCCGGCGGCACCGCCAGUGACAGCGGCGGCGGCGGCUCCGCGCCGCCGCCACUGACCGCUCGCGCCAUGGCUAGACGCGACGCGCUGCUGCUGCCGCCUGGCUCGUGAACUGCGUCAGCAGGUCCCUCUUGUAACCAAUGCAAUCUGCCGCCGCCGCCGGCGCUCGUGCCAAUGCCGCCGGAACGCGCGGCGGCGGCGGUACUACGGCCGCUGCCGCUGCCGACGCUGCCUCGCGCGACGCGAACCGCUGCGUCCGUUGCCGCGCCUGCCUCCGCCGACUGCGCCACCCCCGCGGCGGCCGCCAGGCCGCCGCCGCCGCCGCCGCCCUCCGGCUGCGCCGGCGCAGCCGCCGGCUGCCGCGCCGCGGCGGCGGCGGCCUGCGCCAGCAGCGCCUGCUGCUGCUGCUGCUGCUGCUGCUUCCGGGCCUUCUUUGCCGCCAACAGGUCAUUCAGCAGCCGCGUCAGCACGUCCAGAGCGUCCAGGAAGCGCGGCCGGGCAGCGGGUGAGGCGGACAGGCAGGCGGUGGCGAGGUCGCGGUAGGCGGGCGGGCAGGCGGAGGGCUCGGCGGGCCAGGUGUAGAACUCGGCGGGCAGGUUGGGGAUGCGGCGGCGCAGCGGCAGGCGGCGGGCCACUGUGGAGCCGUGGAGCAGCUCCCACAGGAUCACGCCGAAAGAGUAGC
rnacentral:lncRNA from 1 species